rnacentral:rRNA from 1 species
GAGCGGUAACGAUCCUAGCUUGCUAUGAGGCGUCGAGCGGCGGACGGGUGAGUACUGCAUAGGAAUCUGCCCGGUAGUGGGGGAUAACCUGGGGAAACUCAGGCUAAUACCGCAUACGUCCUACGGGAGAAAGGGGGCCUUGGCUCCCGCUAUCGGAUGAGCCUAUGCCGGAUUAGCUGGUUGGUGAGGUAAUGGCUCACCAAGGCGACGAUCCGUAGCUGGUCUGAGAGGAUGAUCAGCCACAUCGGGACUGAGACACGGCCCGAACUCCUACGGGAGGCAGCAGUGGGGAAUAUUGGACAAUGGGGGCAACCCUGAUCCAGCCAUGCCGCGUGUGUGAAGAAGGCCCUCGGGUUGUAAAGCACUUUCAGUGAGGAAGAACGCCUGGCGGUUAAUACCCGCCAGGAAAGACAUCACUCACAGAAGAAGCACCGGCUAACUCCGUGCCAGCAGCCGCGGUAAUACGGAGGGUGCAAGCGUUAAUCGGAAUUACUGGGCGUAAAGCGCGCGUAGGUGGCUUGAUAAGCCGGUUGUGAAAGCCCCGGGCCUC